UAUUCUGGUGUCCAAGGCGUAGAGGAACCACACCAAUCCAUCCCGAACUUGGUGGUUAAACUCUACUGCGGUGACAAUACUGUAGGGGGAGCCCUGCGGAAAAAUAGCUCAACGCCAGAAU
rnacentral:rRNA from 1 species